UACGUAGGGUGCGAGCGUUGUCCGGAAUUAUUGGGCGUAAAGGGCUCGUAGGCGGUUUGUCGCGUCGGGAGUGAAAUCCACUGGCUUAACUGGUGGCUUGCUUUCGAUACGGGCAGACUAGAGGUAGGCAGGGGAGAGCGGAACUCCUGGUGUAGCGGUGGAAUGCGCAGAUAUCAGGAAGAACACCGGUGGCGAAGGCGGCUCUCUGGGCCUUACCUGACGCUGAGGAGCGAAAGCGUGGGUAGCGAACAGG
rnacentral:rRNA from 1 species